rnacentral:rRNA from 1 species
UUGGAGGGCAAGUCUGGUGCCAGCAGCCGCGGUAAUUCCAGCUCCAAUAGCGUAUAUUAAAGUUGUUGCAGUUAAAAAGCUCGUAGUUGAAUUUCGGGAUUGACACAUCGGUCGUGCCUUAAGGGGUAUGAACUGGUGUAGUCAAUUUCUCACCUUCUGGAGAACCGCAAUGCCCUUAAUUGGGUGUCGCGGGGAACCAGGACCUUUACUUUGAAAAAAUUAGAGUGUUUAAAGCAGGCAUUUUGCUUGAAUACAUUAGCAUGGAAUAAUAAAAUAGGACGGCAUGAUCCUAUUUUGUUGGUUUCUAGGAUCACCGUAAUGAUUAAUAGGGAUAGUUGGGGGCAUUAGUAUUCAAUUGUCAGAGGUGAAAUUCUUGGAUUUAUUGAGGACUAACUACUGCGAAAGCAUUUGCCAAGGAUGUUUUCAUUAAUCAAGGACGAAAGUUAGGGGAUCGAAGACGAUCAGAUACCGUCGUAGUCUUAACCAUAAACUAUGCCGACUAGGAAUCAGACGAUGUUAAUUUUUUAAUGACUCGUUUGGCACCUUACGGGAAACCAAAGUGUUUGGGUUC